rnacentral:rRNA from 1 species
AUUGAACGCUGGCGGCAUGCCUUACACAUGCAAGUCGAACGGCAGCGCGGACUUCGGUCUGGCGGCGAGUGGCGAACGGGUGAGUAAUACAUCGGAACGUACCCUGUUGUGGGGGAUAACUAGUCGAAGGAUUAGCUAAUACCGCAUACGACCUGAGGGUGAAAGUGGGGGACCGGAAACGGCCUCAUGCAGCAGGAGCGGCCGAUGUCUGAUUAGCUAGUUGGUGGGGUAAAGGCCCACCAAGGCGACGAUCAGUAGCUGGUCUGAGAGGACGAUCAGCCACACUGGGACUGAGACACGGCCCAGACUCCUACGGGAGGCAGCAGUGGGGAAUUUUGGAUAAUGGGGGCAACCCUGAUCCAGCAAUGCCGCGUGUGUGAAGAAGGCCUUCGGGUUGUAAAGCACUUUUGUCCGGAAAGAAAUCGCGCUGGUUAAUACCUGGCGUGGAUGACGGUACCGGAAGAAUAAGCACCGGCUAACUACGUG